GAUAGGGUAUUUUGGGGUCUCCCAUAACAGCUAGAAAAUCACUGUGGGGCCAUCUGGUCUGGGCUUCUUUUAACACAUCCAGGUCAUUUCGAUCGAUCAAUUCCACGUCUACAUGGAGAAUUGUCUCUCUCCCAAAAUGGAUGGCUCUCAAAGGGUUUUUGUGCCUGAUACCUUUUGGAGUUUAAGAGUUAAAGGCAUCACUCAGGGAAAAUACUAUCAUGGAUGCAUAUGAAGGAAGGGGCAGAUGAGGGAUCCCAAAGAGGAGGCUUCUCCUACCGCU